rnacentral:rRNA from 1 species
ACGAACGCUGGCGGCGUGCUUAACACAUGCAAGUAGAACGGAAAGGCCCUGCUUUUGUGGGGUGCUCGAGUGGCGAACGGGUGAGUAACACGUGAGUAACCUGCCCUUGACUUUGGGAUAACUUCAGGAAACUGGGGCUAAUACCGGAUAGGAGCUCCUGCUGCAUGGUGGGGGUUGGAAAGUUUCGGCGGUUGGGGAUGGACUCGCGGCUUAUCAGCUUGUUGGUGGGGUAGUGGCUUACCAAGGCUUUGACGGGUAGCCGGCCUGAGAGGGUGACCGGCCACAUUGGGACUGAGAUACGGCCCAGACUCCUACGGGAGGCAGCAGUGGGGAAUAUUGCACAAUGGGCGGAAGCCUGAUGCAGCAACGCCGCGUGCGGGAUGACGGCCUUCGGGUUGUAAACCGCUUUCGCCUGUGACGAAGCGUGAGUGACGGUAAUGGGUAAAGAAGCACCGGCUAACUACGUG